rnacentral:rRNA from 1 species
UACAGAGGUCCCGAGCGUUGUUCGGAUUUAUUGGGCGUAAAGCGCACGUAGGUGGCGACGUAAGUCGGGUGUGAAAGCCCCGGGCUCAACCUGGGAAUUGCAUUCGAGACUGCAUUGCUGGAGUACGGAAGAGGAAGGCGGAAUUCCCGGUGUAGCGGUGAAAUGCGUAGAUAUCGGGAGGAACAUCAGUGGCGAAGGCGGCCUUCUGGUCCAGUACUGACACUGAGGAGCGAAAGCCAGGGGAGCAAACGGG